rnacentral:rRNA from 1 species
GGUCAAGCUCCUAAGGGCGCGGGGGGGAUGCCUAGGCGUCAUCAGGAUUCGGGCGUGGAAGGCUGCGAUAAGUCCGGGGGAGCUGCCCCACGAGCGUCGAUCCCGGAACCCCCGAACAGACCCAGGGAACUGAAACAUCUCACUACCUGGAGGAACGGAAAGCAACCGCGACUCCCUCAGUAGCGGCGAGCGAACGGGGACCAGCCUAAACCAGGCGGGUGACCGCCUGGGGUCGCGGGGCCGGUGCACUCGGAAUGGGCCCAAGCCAGCCGAAGCCUUUGGAAAAAGGCACCACAGCGGGUGACAGUCCCGUAGGUCCAGCGGCGGCCCUCCGCACCGGUCCCCAAGUAGGGUCGGGCACGGGAAACCCGGCCUGAAUCGGCGGGGACCAUCCCGCAAGGCUAAGUACUCGAUGACGACCGAUAGCGAACCCAGUAGGGCGACCGAACGGUGGGAAGAACCCCGAUCAGGGGAGGAGACUGAACCUGAAACCCCGCGCCUACCAGCGGUGGGAGGGCAUUGGCGCGAGCCAGCCUGACCGCGUGCCUUUUGCAUAAUGAUCCGGCGAGUUACCGUGGCCGGCCCGGUUAACCCCUUCAGGGGGGGAGCCGCAGCGAAAGCGAGUCCGAAACGGGCGCCUCAGUCGGCCGCGGUAGACGCGAAACCAGGUGAACUACCCAGGGGCAGGUCGAAGCGGCCUUAACCGGCCGUGGAGGGCCGCACCCACCAGUGUUGAAAAACUGGGGGAGGACCCCUGGGGAGGAGUGAAAGUCUUAUCAAACCUGGAGAUAGCUCGUUCUCUCCGAAAUGGCUUUAGGGCCAGCCUCGGGACCUAGCAAGCGGGGGUAGAGCGACGGAAUCCGCCCGGGGGCCUCCCCGGCUACCCGUCGGAACCCAACUCCGAAGACCGCCUGCCCGACCCCGGGAGUCAGAGCGUGGGGGAGAAGCUCCAUGCUCGAGAGGGGAACAACCCAGACCGCCGACCAAGGCCCCCAAAGGGCGCUCAGUGGCAAAGGAAGUGGGAUCGCCUGGACAGCCGGGAUGUUGGCUUAGAAGCAGCCACCAUUUCAAAAGUGCGUAACAGCUUACCGGUCGAGCCAUCCCGCGCCGAAAAUGACGGGGACUAAGCGCCCUGCCGCAGUCGCGGACUUGCCCACGUGGUAGGAGAGCGUCGACGACCGCUGCGAAGCGGCACGGGUAACGAGCCGUGGAGCGUCGUCGAGUGCGCAUGCCGGAACGAGUAACGACAAGACGGGUGGGAAGCCCGUCCCCCGAAAGCACAAGGUUUCCUGGGGAAGGUCAAUCCGCCCAGGGUCAGUCGGGACCUAAGGCGAGGCCCAAGGGCGUAGCCGAUGGACAGGCGGUUAAUAUUCCGCCACCCG